rnacentral:sRNA from 1 species
CUGCAGCCCGACUUGAGCGGAAAUCCUUUUUUGCGCUUACUCAACUUCUAUUGAAUCUGAAAUCUUUCUGCAAAAAAGAUUGGGAGCGGAAGGCGGAUUAAGC